rnacentral:rRNA from 1 species
GUGGGGAAUCUUGCGCAAUGGACGAAAGUCUGACGCAGCCACGCCGCGUGAGUGAAGAAGGCCUUCGGGUUGUAAAGCUCUGUCGGAAGGGACAAAAACGUUUAGGGUUAAUAGCCCUAGAUCUUGAUGGUACCUUUAAAGGAAGCACCGGCUAACUUCGUGCCAGCAGCCGCGGUAAUACGAAGGGUGCAAGCGUUGCUCGGAAUUAUUGGGCGUAAAGGGUAGGUAGGUUGUUACGUAUGUCUGGGGUGAAAUCCCUGAGCUUAACUCAGGAAGUGCCUUGGAAACGGCGUAACUAGAGUGCUAGAGAGGUUCGUGGAAUUCCCAGUGUAGCGGUGAAAUGCGUAGAGAUUGGGAGGAACACCAGAGGCGAAGGCGGCGAACUGGAUAGCAACUGACACUGAACUACGAAAGCGUGGGUAGCAAACAGGAUUAGAAACCCCAGUAGUCC